rnacentral:snRNA from 1 species
AUUCCCACUGUCCCUGUCUA